rnacentral:lncRNA from 1 species
CUUCUUCCUGGGCAGCCACUGCACACGUGAGCCUGAGGGUAGCUGUGUUCCAGCUUUGCACAGAAAGCAGGUUUGGGAGAAUGAAGCCAGAGGCCAAGGAGAGAAUGCGGAAUCCUGGAGUGUUGAAGGCCCUUGUUUUGAUUCCUCGCGUCCUCCAGUCCAUCCUCAUUUUCUGGAGAGGCAGCGUGACCUAACGACGAAAGCCUCCACAACUGGUUUCUGUCGGUGUGAGUCCCAAAUCUGCCACUGGCUGGCUGGGAAACCUUGGAAAUAUCUCUUGGCUGAGUGAAUGAACCUCUUCCCCCAGCGAGCGAGCCUGUCGGCCGAGGAGACCACGCCAUACCAGGAUUUUCCAGCAGGUGGCAGCCGACGCACGCCAGAGACAGCUGGGCGCCUACACUUUGAACUCAAGGUUCUUCCAAUUAAGUGCAAGAUAAGGAGCUUGGAGACUCAUCGCGUUUGGCUUACUCCUGACGCAGACUUGCACUGGAGGUUGUGUGGAGGGGAUGAGCCGGUGAGCUGAUAAAGCCUUUAUCUAAUACGGGAGACUGUUUACCCACAAUUCAGGGGUAAAAAAAUGUAAACAGCUGUUGAGAAGAAAGGUCAGAGUCCUCCCACGGUGGGGAAAAGGGGCAGAAGAAAGCCUGUGGCCACGGAUUGGCGUCACUCCUGCAGAUGGAAAAGUGACAUUGGACAACUACUCA